rnacentral:SRP_RNA from 1 species
GCUGGGCGCAGUGGCGUGCGCCUGUCAUCCCAGCUACUUGGGAGGCUGAGGCAGGAGAAUCGCUUGGACCUGGGAGACGGGGGUUGCAGUGAGCCAAGAUCACGCCACUGCACUCCAGCCUGGGUGACAGAGUGAGACUCUGUCCCAA